rnacentral:tRNA from 1 species
GGCAAGGUGGCCGAGCGGUCUAAGGCGCACGGUUCAGGUUAUCUGAUUAUAAUCUCCGUGUCAUUAAUUUGGCGUGGGUUCGAAUCCCACCCUUGUCA